rnacentral:lncRNA from 1 species
UUUUUUACCUGACUGUACCCUUAACUGUGGCUUCAUAUCUUUGUAGUUGUGGAAGGGAUGGAGAUUGGGAGAUGCUCGGACCCGCGAAUAACUGGAUGUAUCCAAUUUCUUCAGCCGCAUGCAUUGAAUACCUGACUAAGUGACCCCCAACUCUUCUGAGAAAGCUUUUUUGUUGGCAGGUGUAGAUAGGAUAAAUAUGUAUUUCUUGUUUUUGUGUAGGUGUUCUACUUAUAAAUUAGUAGUAUGUACACCCUUUUUUCAUUAGCCUUACCAAUCUAUUUAGCUACUACUAUCCUUAAGUAAGGACACUGCUGCUUAUCAAAGUUUAGAAUCCUCCUACCUAUUGAUGGUAGUUGACUGAAACUUGUGAAUGUGAAGUGUUGCUCCAAUACAAAGUUAGCUAGAAAAUCUGCUAAUUGAUUGCCCUCUCUGUAAAUAUAUUGUAUCUACACUUAUUUUGUUGCUAAAAGCUGCCAUAUUUGAUUAAUCUUAUCUACUAAUU